rnacentral:rRNA from 1 species
AACGAACGCUGGCGGCAGGCUUAACACAUGCAAGUCGAACGCCCCGCAAGGGGAGUGGCAGACGGGUGAGUAACGCGUGGGAACGUACCUUUCAGUUCGGAAUAACUCAGGGAAACUUGUGCUAAUACCGGAUACGCCCGCAAGGGGAAAGAUUUAUCGCUGAAAGAUCGGCCCGCGUUGGAUUAGCUAGUUGGUGGGGUAAAGGCCUACCAAGGCGACGAUCCAUAGCUGGUCUGAGAGGAUGAUCAGCCACACUGGGACUGAGACACGGCCCAGACUCCUACGGGAGGCAGCAGUAAGGAAUAUUGCUCAAUGGCCGAAAGGCUGAAGCAGCAACGCCGCGUGGAGGACGAAAUACUUUUGUAUGUAAACUCCUGUAAGAAGGGAAAAUAUGCAGUUUUUCGCAUUGAUUGUACUUCAGAGUAAGCCCGGCUAACUACGUG